UACGUAGGGGGCGAGCGUUGUCCGGAUUUAUUGGGCGUAAAGAGCGUGUAGGCGGCCAGGUAGGUCUGCUGUGAAAACUCGAGGCUCAACCUCGAGACGUCGGCGGAAACCAUCUGGCUAGAGUCCGGAAGAGGAGAGUGGAAUUCCUGGUGUAGCGGUGAAAUGCGCAGAUAUCAGGAAGAACACCCGUGGCGAAGGCGGCUCUCUGGGACGGUACUGACGCUGAGACGCGAAAGCGUGGGGAGCGAA
rnacentral:rRNA from 1 species